CUUAAGCUACUGGUAGAACGAGUUGAGCUUGUUCCAGUUGCUGUUGAGGGAGAGACAGCGGUAGCAGCUAGGAGAAGAUCUGAGACUACUCCUGUGCUGGACAAGCACAAUAACCAGGAAACACCUACUAUAGUCAAGUCCUACUAUGACAAAAGAAUAAUUGGAUGCCCUAGUGUUGAAGGAGGUAAACUCCUCCAGCUGCAUCUUUUUCUUCCCUGCUAAACUUACAUCAUUCCGCAUUUGCAGCUAACUAUAAGUUUUGGAUAUAUAUGUCUGCUGAAGAUGAGCACGAUGCUAUGUGGUUUUGGCUGGAUAAAGGCAAGUCACA